GUUGUGUGUCGCGAGAGUCGAACCAGUCUUUUCCAAUUUCGCCCAAGUCCGAUAAAAUAUAUGAUGUUAACCGUGCUUCAGUUGUUGGUUUUCGGGCUAUCGGGAAAGGACGAUCUGCAGCGCAAAAAUGUUUUAGUUUUCUCGGUUUGUCACCGGUCUACACGUGGGAUAAACAUACAACACUCAUUGAAGAGAAAGUAAAAGACCUAACUGAGAUUGAUUUCAACCAGGCAGCCUUGCAACUGAAACAACUUAAAAGAACAGUAGGUGAAGUUGCAGAUUGUACAGACCAGGAAUUGGUAGAAAAAGUUGUUGAUGUCGGUGCGAGUUUUGACUGUUCAUGGAGUUCGCGAGGUUGGUCCGCACGAGAUGGUCUGGUUGCUGCUGUCUCGGAAGUCACGGGGAAAGUUUUGGACGUGGUGUACUUGACGAGAGAAUGUAAACAGUGUAAAGAAAUAGAAGGAAAGAGAGCAAGGGGAGAAUUAGGUCGAUUAGAUUACCUAUCUUGGUAUAUCGCCCACGAGCCGAAUUGUCUGCUCAAUCACGAGGGGAGUGCGCAGGUACAGAAAUUCUACUUUUAUUAUAGUAUACAUUACUUGUAACUAUAUAUAUAUAUAUGUACUUAAAAUCUGCUAGCUUUAUGAUUAAAUGUUUUGCCCAAUAUAAUUUUAGGCUAUGGAAUCAUCAGGGGUAUUGCAACUAUAUAGGAGAUCAAUUGAGAAGCGGAAGUUAUGGUACAUUUCAUUUAUUGGUGAUGGCGAUUCCUCCUCCUACAAUGGAGUUUGCAUAGAGA